UGGACAGCUCUAUAUGAGAAGAAGAAACUUGCAGUCAAAUGGAGACACAAUAUCACAUAGAAGUACUCGAGUUAUUAGAUAUCAAGAUUUUGGAAGUGAGAUAAAUAUCAGAAUCUAAGUGUAGAUCUCAUCUUGAUGGAUACCUGACUAUCAUAGCUCAAUUUCUUUCAUGGCACGUCUGAAAGUCCAAUGGAAUGAAUAGAUAUCUCAAAACCGAGCUUUGCUAUUAUAACAAUUUAGGAUCUCAUCCAAAAAGGCUAGCUGGAAGGUAU
rnacentral:lncRNA from 1 species